GGAUUAGUACGCUGGUCGUGCCUUUGGUAUGUACUGGUGUUACUGAUUCCUACCUUCUGACGAACCGUCAUGUCAUUAAUUUGGUGUGGCGGGGAAUCAGGACUGUUACUUUGAAAAAAUUAGAGUGUUUAAAGCAGGCUCGCGCUUGAAUACAUUAGCAUGGAAUAAUGAAAUAGGACGUUCGAUCCUAUUUUGUUGGUUUCUAGGAUUGACGUA
rnacentral:rRNA from 1 species